rnacentral:lncRNA from 1 species
CCGGCGACCAGCAGCAGCAGUACGACGUGCCGCAGAUAGAGUGUCCUCAGUCGGAUGACGGCAUGGAGCGGUUCGCCUGCCCGUCGCCCAACCGCUACGGCCGCUACUUCUGCAUAGACGACCACAUGCUCUGCGACGGCUUCAAGGCCUGUCCGGGCGGGGAAGACGAGGACCGACAGAACUGCAUGUUCUACAAGACGACCAAGACACAUCUGAACGUGUUGGCGGACGCGCUGCUUCGCUGGAUCCGAGGGCGCUAGAUGCCGGCGGAUCGGACGCCGCCGCUCGCAGCCGCUCGGCCAUCGGCAA